CGCAGUCAUCGUUCUUAACCGCUGUCUAGCGCCACUACCCUGCAGCUUCUGUGACCUCUGUUGGCCUCAUCAAGGUUCCUUCACCCUCCAGCUGCUCACGUGCUUCUCUGUUCAUCGCAGGUCCAGGUCUGCGCGGUUGGGGCGUCAAUCACAUGUUUUUCCAUUGAUUGCUACAGAUUUUGAGAGAACACUAUUGUCCACGUUAUAUCGUAUACUUCCAAAUUAUAAAGCGUUCUUGUUAUAUGUAAGUUCCCUAUUAUCCACACAAUCCAAGCAGUGGUUCAGGACUACAGAGAAAGGAAGCACCAAUAACUUGUUUUUUCAUUUCUUUUUGGUGAUAAAACUGGAUUUUUCUUUUCUAUGAUCAUGUGUCGAUGCCUUUGUCUCUAUCAAAUAUUAGGGGUAAUGAAUUUUCAUGUGCUGGAUCAACAUGCAGAUCCUGCCCAUCUUGAAGUCAUAAAUCCAGUGAAGUCAAUUUCAGUAUAUUCAGGACAUAGCCAGUAGCUUAGCAAUUUCCACGAGUAUGUUUUGUUUACAAUAAAGUUGUGUGCAAAAUGUAUAUGCUACAUUAUGCAUGAUGCUCUCUUUUAUCAAAGUAUAUACAUGUGUCUAUUUUGUCAUCCUGUUGCAAUGCACGGGGACCUUCGAUUUGAUUCAGUUUUGUGUUCUACUACAAAUAGGGAAAUGUGGACGCUGGAUAUCCAUUUCUUAGGUGUCAAUCUGGUACUUAGGAUGUAUAGCCUAGGCACGUAAUCUGAUUUAUAGCCUAGGCACUUUUCUUUAAGCAUAGUUACCUAUUCGAUGGUGACCAAACAAUAUGUGUCUUACCACUAUUUGAGAUGGUCCCUUAAACAGCCCGCAAUAGCUGACCAAGUACCACCAAUGUUGUUUCUGCAUGUGUGAGGCCAUAAGUCAUAUCCCCAAAUUAUUGUGGUUGUGAUUUAUCAAUGACACAGUAUGUGUAGAAACUUUUUUGGUCUAAAUGAGAAGAACAAAAGUGUCGGGGAUGUUUCUGACCGUUUCUUUUACCUAGCUUCUGAUUUCUAUUAUCAGAAACACAUUUUUUGGACCUACAGGAAAAGAUCUGUAAAUAGAGGAUUUGUCGAAGCUUUUUGAGUCCCCGAUGCAUAUUAAAUACAGUAGUGUUUAUGCAUGAUAACAUCUGGAAAAUUGCUCCAAAAUAACAUUUAAAACAUGUAAAAGAAGAAGAAAAUCAAUUCUGAAUUCUAAAAUCAUCCUUCAGUGUAUGCAGCAAAUCGCUUCCUUUAUGAUCUGAUUAAAAUCGCCGGAUUUAACAUGACGCAUGCAAGGAUAUACUAAAACUAUCACACCAAAGGCGAGGAUCCUUGAUCUCCACCAUAGCGAUGAAGCCAGUGUCGGAGUCGCCGUCUUCGCCAAGGAUAGUCACAAUGACGGAAAGGUAUAAUAACAAAGUAAUUAUUUUAGAAAAUAAUUUUGAUGAUUUUUAGUUAUAUUGGAUAAUAUUUAGUGGUUUCACUACCAAUAUAGAAAACCGGUACCAGUUGUACGUUUCCAGCCAUGUCUAUUUUAAUUGCUAUUAUUUUUGUCCCCGCAUCUGUUGGCCUCAUCAGGGUUCCUUCACCCUCCAGCUGCUCACGUGCUUCUCUGUUUGUCGCAGGUCCAGGUCUGCGCGGUUGGGGCGUCAAUCACGUGUUCAACGGCAUGUCAGAGCAACUCUCUGGCCAGAGCCCUGACUAUGUGCGCUUCAGGUAAUGCAAUCCACCAGAUAUGUAUGUUCACGUUUGUCAGUUGGGUUACACUAGGAGCAGGGGAUGCGCACAAGAAUUUUCCUGCCCAUGUGGUUGCCGGUCUUCUGGAUUGGUUUGGCUGCUAUAAAAAAAUGUAGAACCAGUUCCACCAAAAUCGAUACUAGGCUACUAGCGGUACCAUUGUCUUUGUCAAUUUUGUACCUGCCAUAGUAAGAUGACCCCUAUUCUUAAGAAUACAUAAUAGAUGAUAUUGUAGUGUUAUGAGAUUAGCUUUUACUUCUUUCCAUGGAUUGCUACAGAUUUUGGGAGAACACUGUUGUCCACGUUAUAUCAUAUACUUCCAAAUUAUAAAGCGUUCUUGUUGUAUGUAAGUUACCUAUUAUCCACAGAAUACAAGUAGUGGUUCAGAACUACAGAUAUUCAUCGUUAUUUCUCCAGUAAGAUAUCCCCCUUCGUUAAUACUGCCCUAUUCCUUUUCCCUUUUUCACGAAAGUGGAAGGAGUGAUGAAGAACUGAAACAUAGUAACAGUGGGUGUUUUUUAUAGGAACAAACUGAAGAAUUUGACAUUAACAUAAUUGUAGUACUAAUUCAGGUGUCACCUAAUUGUCCAUGGUUACACUCAUUUUCAAAUGGCACAACUUGUCUUGCUGCCACAUCUUCAAAAUCGUUAAUAGGCUACGUACUAGCAGUACCAUUGUAUUUGUCAGUUUUGUACCUAGCAAAGUAAGAUGGCCCCUAUUCUUAAGAAUACAUACCUGAGAAUAUUGUAGUGUUAGGAGAUUAGCUUUUACUUUUUUCCAUUGAUUGCUACAGAUUUUGAGAGAACACUGUUGUCCACGUUAUAUCGUAUACUUCCAAAUUAUAAAGAGUUCUUGUUAUAUGUAAGUUCCCUAUUAUCCACACAAUCCAAGCAGUGGUUCAGGACUACAGAGAAAGGAAGCACCAAUAACUUGUUUUUUCAUUUCUUUUUGGUGAUAAAACUGGAAUUUUCUUUUCUAUGAUCAUGUGUCGAUGCCUUUGUCUCUAUCAAAUAUUAGGGGUAAUGAAUUUUCCUGUGCUGGAUCAACAUGCAGAUCCUGCCCAUCUUGAAGUCAUAAAUCUAGUGAAGUCAAUUUCAGUAUAUUCAGGACAUAGCCAGUAGCUUAGCAAUUUCCACGAGUAUGUUUUGUUUACAAUAAAGUUGUGUGCAAAAUGUAUAUGCUACAUUAUGCAUGAUGCUCUCUUUUAUCAAAGUAUAUCCAUGUGUCUAUUUUGACAUCCCGUUGCAAUGCACGGGGACCUCCGAUUUGAUUCAGUUUUAUGCUCUACUACAAAUAGGGAAAUGUGGACGCUGGAUAUCCAUUUCUUAGGUGUCAAUCUGGUACUUAAGAUGUAUAACCUAGGCACGUAAUCUGAUUUAUAGCCUAGGCACUUUUCUUUAAGCAUAGUUACCUAUUCGAUGGUGACCAAACAAUAUGUGUCUUACCACUAUUUGAGAUGGUCCCUUAAACUGCCCGCAGUAGCUGACCAAGUACCACCAAUGUUGUUUCUGCAUGUGUGAGGCCAUAAGUCAUAUCCCCAAAUUAUUGUGGUUGUGAUUUAUCAUGGACACAAUAUGUGUAGAAACUUUUUUGGUCUAAAUGAGAAGAACAAAAGUGUCGGGGAUGUUGUUUGACCGUUUCUUUUACCUAGCUUCUGAUUUCUAUUAUCAGAAACACAUUUUUUGGACCUACAUAUUUUAGGACCGUGGUGCGAGUAUUAAAGGAAUGUAUAAAUGCAUGGGCAAUAUGUUGCUAUUUCAUGACAUAUGUGCUUAUUAAUUGAACAUUCUGAUAUAUUACGUGCACCUUUUAAGUUUUAUUAUUAGUUUCCAUGCUAUACUGUGUUGAUGUCUCAUGAUUUAAUUAAUAUUUCUUUGAGCUAUAUAUUAUUGUUUUGGCACCACUGUUGUUGAAUAUGUGAUAGUGAAAAGUUAUAUUGUGUCUUCCCUUGAUUUUGUUAUUUCUUUUCAAUUGAGAGAAACAAAGGUACAAGGGAAAUUAUAUUAUGUCUUCUCCUGAUAUCGUGUUUGAUGCUGCUGCUAGAGUCUGGCCACAGCGCCUGUUCACAUAAAUCAUCAUAUUGGCAGCCUGGAAUAUUUGGAAACAAAGAAAUAGAUGCUACUUUGAGGGUACGAAGCCUUCUGUUCAGGACUGGCUCAGGAUGUUCAAAGGUGAUCUGAGGCUUCUCAUGCAUAGGGUUAUCCCUGACUUCUCUGUUUUUUAGAUUUACAUACUAUCUUUAUGUGUGUUUUGUUAUUGUUUCUCUUUUGUUCUAGGUCUACUUUCACCAUGUCAAUAUUUGUACACUUUGCGACUUAUAUAUAUAUACUAGGCAAAGAAAAGAAGGAGCCUCUCCUGCUGUUUUCUCUAUUAAAAAAAUAUUUAUCUCAAAGUACACUAGAAAUGUAUAGAAACCCAAAAGCGCUACUUGCUCUGUUCAUGAAAUACAUAUCUUGUAACCAUAGUGUGGGAUAUGCAUGGGUUUAACCCACUCAACUAUAUCGAAGACUUGAAAUUUUU
rnacentral:lncRNA from 1 species